rnacentral:rRNA from 1 species
AGUGAACGCUGGCGGUAGGCCUAACACAUGCAAGCCGAACGGCAGCACAGUAAGAGCUUGCUCUUACGGGUGGCGAGUGGCGGACGGGUGAGGAAUACAUCGGAAUCUACUUUUUCGUGGGGGAUAACGUAGGGAAACUUACGCUAAUACCGCAUACGACCUACGGGUGAAAGCAGGGGAUCUUCGGACCUUGCGCGAUUGAAUGAGCCGAUGUCGGAUUAGCUAGUUGGCGGGGUAAAGGCCCACCAAGGCGACGAUCCGUAGCUGGUCUGAGAGGAUGAUCAGCCACACUGGAACUGAGACACGGUCCAGACGCCUACGGGAGGCAGCAGUGGGGAAUAUUGGACAAUGGGCGCAAGCCUGAUCCAGCCAUACCGCGUGGGUGAAGAAGGCCUUCGGGUUGUAAAGCCCUUUUGUUGGGAAAGAAAAGCAGCAGGUUAAUACCCCGCUGUUCUGACGGUACCCAAAGAAUAAGCACCGGCUAACUUCGUG